rnacentral:rRNA from 1 species
CCCUUAGAUGUUCUGGGCCGCACGCGCGCUACACUGAUACGUUCAACAAGCUCCUUGUCCGAAAGGUCCGGGUAAUCUUUGAAACCGUAUCGUGAUGGGGAUAGAACAUUGCAAUUAUUGUUCUUCAACGAGGAAUGCCUAGUAAGCGCGAGUCAUCAACUCGCGUUGAUUACGUCCCUGCCCUUUGUACACACCGCCCGUCGCUCCUACCGAUUGAACGUGCUGGUGAAGCGUUAGGACUGGAGGGUUACCUAGGUCUCCUAGGUUUCACUCCGGGAAUUUCGUUGAACCCUCCCGUUUAGAGGAAGGAGAAGUCGUANCA